UACAGAGGUCUCAAGCGUUGUUCGGAUUCAUUGGGCGUAAAGGGUGUGUAGGUGGCGCGCUAAGUCGGGUGUGAAAUUUCGGAGCUUAACUCCGAAACUGCAUUCGAUACUGGCGUGCUUGAGGACUGGAGAGGAGACUGGAAUUCAUGGUGUAGCAGUGAAAUGCGCAGAUAUCAGGAGGAACACCCGUGGCGAAAGCGGCUCUCUGGGACGGUACUGACGCUGAGACGCGAAAGCGUGGGGAGCAAACAGG
rnacentral:rRNA from 1 species